rnacentral:rRNA from 1 species
UACAUGUGGGGCAAGCGUUGUUCGGAAUUACUGGGCAUAAAGGGCUCGUAGGCGGCCAACUAAGUCAGGCGUGAAAUCCCUCAGCUUAACUGGGGAACUGCGUCUGAUACUGAAUGGCUUGGAUUUGGGAGAGGAAUGCGGAAUUCCAGGUGUAGCGGUGAAAUGCGUAGAUAUCUGGAGGAACACCGGUGGCGAAGGCGGCAUUCUGGACCAAUAUUGACGCUGAGGAGCGAAAGCCAGGGGAGCAAACGGG